CAGGCGCUAAACCCCUGAGCCACCCAGGGAUCCCCACUGCUCAACUUUUCUUGUGGCACAGGUCACAUGCAAUUUUGAACUUGGCAUUUAAAGGAUGAUGGAGUGAUGUUUUCAACCUGAGCCUUCCAAAGGUGGUGUUCGCCCUGAGGUGGUGUGAGGCUGUUGCCAUUCUAGAUGCCACUCUCCACCAUCUUGCCUGCUCCCGUGUUCGUUGAAGAGCUGGCGCUUCAUCUACACUCUUCCUCUCGAACCUGGGCCACACCAGCCCUUAGCCGACUUGAGUCACCAGCACUCAGAUUGGAAAUCAAUCCGUGGUUAAUCAUCAGCAUCCUCAGCAUCGCAUUCUGCUUCUGUCUGACCAAACAUCAUCCUCGGAUUCAACCCACUUUUGUCUCUCUUCUUCUGGAACCCUGGGACUUUCUGGAGGAAAAACUACUCACGUAGGUAGACUUUUGCCAUAACUUCUGGUCUCUAGCAUCAGCUAUGUGUUUAAUGUCACUUGACGAUUCUCCUUGUUUGUCCUAAUGCCACCUCUCCAUCGUUUUGUUCAGCAAAUUUUCUACUUUCCUCCAAGUCCUUAAGAAAUGUGUUUGUGGCCCUCUCUCCCCCUCCCCGUCCAGCCUCCUACUUGAAGAAUAUUGGAGGGAUCUGGAUUCAUUUGUCCAGACACCAGCUGUCCCUUUGUAGCUGUCUCCCCUGCAGAAUAAGCAGCAGGCUCCCUCUGUUCUCUGACCCUGCAGGGCUGCUGACUGAACCCGUGUCCCCCACCUGUGUUCUGCUCCCUGCUCUCUGUCCUCUGGGCCCUUCUACCUUGGCUUGUCUUCGCUCCCUGACAGGCCAUCUUUCCCUGGCUCUUUCAUUGGAUUGUGUCUCUCCUAGUCUUUAAAAAAUAAGGCUCGGGUAGCCCGGGUGGCUCAGCCGUUUAGCCCUGCCUUCAGCCCAGGGCGUGACCCUGGAGACUGGGAUGGAGUCCCACAUGAGUCCCACAUUGGGCUCCCUGCAUGGAGCCUGCUUCUCCCUUUGCCUGUGUCUCUGCCCCUCUCUCUCUCUCUCUCUCUGUAUUUCUCAUGAAUAAAUAAAUAAAAAUCUUUUAAAAAAAUAAAAAA
rnacentral:lncRNA from 1 species